rnacentral:rRNA from 1 species
ACUGGGGUGAAGUCGUAACAAGGUAACCGUAGGGGAACCUGCGGUUGGAUCACCUCCUUACCUUAAAGAAGCG